GAAACGCAAAUAACCUAUGCGUAAUUUACGCAGGAACAGGAGGCCUACAAUGCUUGUCAACUACCAGAUGGGGGAGCCCACGCACAUCUCGAAGUGGUCAUGUCCCCUCCUUCCCACAGAAAUUAAACUAUAAGCUCAUAUGCUUCCAUACUUCAUUUCGAAAGCAUGGAUGAAUAGUUGAAGGAUGUUGACGGAGAUCUGAUUUGAUUGUUAUCCUUUAGCGCAGUAUCACAAGAAAAGUCAGACACAGCUCAUCUCUCGCCACUGACUGAACUUAAGCUGUACUUCGAGUCCAAUACGCGCUGCGGUUUUACACCCUCAUAUCUGAAUGCCCAGGGGGGAAGCCUUUCCAGUGCAGGUACUGCCCCUACAGUGCCACCCAGAAGGGGAACCUGAAGACUCAUGUCCUGUGUGUCCACCGCAGGCCCUUCGACAGCAGCCUGUACCCAGACAGACGCCUCCGACGGCCCAGUGCCAACACCCCUGUGACACCCAACACCUCCCAGGAAGGCUCUGCCCCUAGGCCUACACCCAGUGGGAGAGAUAUCACCAUGACAUCGUUGUGUGGGACUUGAUGUUGCUAUGGCAACUGCAUAUAGCCAUAGGGUGUGUUCGAAAAUGUUAUCUGGAGUGCCAGAGUGUGCUCAGAGUGCGUUCUGGGAGUUAGUAAAUUCAGAAAGUUGUCUGAAAGUUGUCAGAUUGUCAGUUAGUAAAUUCAGAGUUUCGCUAUCGGAGCGUUCAGAACGUACACUGGACGUUCUGGCCGAGGAGUAGGGUUGAUCUGAGGGUUCAGACCUCACAUCAGCAGUCAGGCACCCAAGCUAACUGCUUAACGAUGGCUAGCUUGCUAGCUGCUUCCAGACACAAAUGAGAAAACACCUUUACUUGCCCUAGCAGAGCUGGUUAGGCUGUUUUCAUGUUAUACAGAGCGUUGGUGACUGUAACUGUAAUGCUGGCAACAAUUUAAUGAAGCUUUUUUUGCCGACGUUUAGUACUUUAGUUUCAGGUGUGGAGGAUGACAGAGGGAGGAUAGGCUUAUGUUGUUGGAGAUGGAGAAAAAAAACUUGAUGUACAUUCCAGUGUGGACUUGAAAAUAUAUUUAUCUGUAAGAAACAAACUGCCUAUAAUAAAGUGUAUUGUGGUGUGUGGAGUACAGAGAGAUUGAGUGCUUUUUACUUAAUUUAUACUCAGUGUCAUAAUGAUUUAUAUUCACCCACAUACAUCCUUCAGCUCAACACUGACUGAUUGUCUGAUCGUGAGCAGGCACCAAACUAACUUCCCCCAAGCUCUUUCAUGCACUAUAAAUGUCGAUGUUUUGGUAAAUAUCUCCUAAUAUGAGUUCUUCAGAACAGUUAUCAGUCAGAAUCCUAUGCCAGAUGUUCAGGGUGUAAUCAUGGCAGAUGUAAUGAUGGAGUAGAAUGUCUUCAUUUGUUCUGUAUUCCAUUCAGGGGGGGGGGGGGGGGGCACCUUUCACACAUGUCAUUAUCUCCCAUUAACAAUGUGAACAAUAUUAAUUUAAGGGGAACCAAAGAAAUGGAAAACUAUAUAGAUUCAUUGAUAUCAUGGAUGCACUAAAAUGAAAUUCAAAUCAAAGAUGACAACCAUCCAUACUGUACGUGUACAGUGCCUUUGGAGAGUAUUCAGACCCCUUGACUUUUUCCACAUUUUGUUAGGUUACAGCCUGAUUCUAAAAUUGAUUCAAUGUUUUUUUUUCUGAUCAAUCUACAUACAAUAAAUACCCCAUAAUGACAAAGCAAAAGAGGUUUGUAGAAAGUUUAGCAAAUGUAUUAAAAAUACAAAACUGAAAUAUCACAUUUACUUAAGUAUUCAGACCCUUUACUCAGUACUUCGUUGAAGUACCUUUGGCAGCAAUUACAGCCUUGAGUCUUCUUGGGUAUGACUCUACAAGCUUGGCACACAUGUAUUUGGGGAGU
rnacentral:lncRNA from 8 species